GUUUUCUUUUUUGUCUGAGGCUCCUCAGCUUCCCAGGAGAAGAAUCCUGGGCGAAGGGAAUUUCCAGAGAAUGAACAAAGGGAACAAGCAGCCCUGCUGCAGCAGACCAGUCCCAGGAAGCAAGGGAAAUGUGAUCCACAGGUGCAUUAUAAAAGGGAAGGCAGAGGACCUGGGGAAGGAAGUUUGCCUUUUGCUACAGUGUGAGACAGUGCCUGAGUGCUUUGUGUCCUUGCACAUCUGGUGCAGAAAUAACCUGAACAUCAGAAGAAUUUGUUAAGGCAGGAACAUUUUUUUCAUUUCCAGGAUCAUACCAGCCCAUGCAAAGAACUCAAGGUUUUGAACAAUUUCAAAAAGAGAACUUUGAGCAGAGCUGGAAAUGAGUGCAGAAGGUUUGGUUCAAGGAACCACCUGCUCUGCUCCCAGUUUGGCUCCCAGUUCACACCAGUGAGGAAGGCUCGUUCCUCCCAGUGCUGAGGAAGUGCUGCAGGGAGGCAAGGGGCAAAUCCGUGCCUGUGAGAGCGCUCAGGUUUGUGGUGCUCUUAAAGGUUCUUGAAUAGGUGCCAUAAUCUGCUCAGGCUGCCUGAGGUCAAGACUGUUCUGGGAUCUCUGGCUCUCCUGACAGAGCCUGCUGGAUUUUGGGACACUGGAGCAGCACUCCUUGGGCUGUGCGAGAGGUGGGUGAACACAGAUGGCUCUGGGCUCUUGGAGGAGGAAGAAGAGGAUGCUCUGGUGUUUGUAUGGAAAGAGAAUAUGGCAAUGCCCCACAUGAGACCAGUUUCAACACAACAAAUGAUUCUGGUUUUGCUUUUUCCUUACAAAGGCACCAAAAUCCAAGCAAAUAAGAUGGCACAUCACAGGUGAGCCCAAUGAAGUCAGCCAAGCUUCUUAUGGAGCCCACACCUAAAUAAGAAGCUGAGAUGUGAGGCCAGAAGAAGAAAGUCCAUGUGAUUUGAAUUACAAUUCAGUUUGCUUUAGGAUUUUCUAGUUGAAGGACAAAAGUUGUCCCUCCCAGCCUGGUGUAGUAUGAGUGAAACCUGUUAAAUGCCAUUGGAGAUUGUACUUUCAACCACCUAGAAAGUAAAUUGGAUAAACACCUUAGUUCAGAGUAUAAAAUAGUGAGAUCUUAUACAGUAUAGUAAGUUCUACACUGCUACCAGCUCAGGAUUUUUGUUGUCUGAAUGGUCAGUGUGAUGUGGGCUCUGCUGUGUUAAAAAUCCCCUCCUGUACUGAAAAACUCAAGGCCCAUUUCACUCCAAGGUAGCUGCUCGUGAGAGUUUUUUGGUAUUUUUCAAUUCUUUUAGUGACAUCUAGUGAAUCUUGGGGAAAGUGCAAGUUCAGGGAACUCCAAGGAUCGAUCCAACUGCAGUAGCAGAUGCUUCACAAUUAAAUGCCUGAAGUACUGCACUUUAUUUCAUUUACUGUCCCUUAAGCUGCUAAAAAAUGCACAAAGUGCAUUUUUGCCAUAAAAAAAUUUAAAAUUUGAGCUCAUAUUCUGGUCAAACACUUUAUGCAUUUGAAGCACAAAAAUAAUUUAGGCUUUUAACUGUUCCUUUUAACUUCGGGUAUGUAUUUAGAAUAACUUUUAUUUUAUAUUUUAAAUUUUUCCUCCUGUUAUUGCUGCCAUUGCUUCUCUACACUUGAAGGCUCCAAGUAUUUCCACUUUUACAAAAAACACCCCAAACUUUUGCAGGAGUUCAAGCUACACAUUUUCAAUAUUUGGUGUUCCUGAACUUAUUGAAAAGUCAGAUUUGGUCUGCUUGUUGCUCUGGGCCAAUCCAGACUGGCUGUGAAAUACUCUUUCAUCAGCAAAUGAAGUUUUCAACAGAGAUGGAAAACGUAUGCCUCCUACCUAGAAAUCAGCUAAAAACUUCAAAGGAAGAGCUGCCUCCCUCAGAGCAGCAUCCACAUGCAAUAGCUUUUAACAGUGUAACUUCUUUUUCUCAAAGUACAAACCCAAGUGGCUUCCAUAAAGUCUGUGUUGGUAUGGAUUUCAGCUGUGCAAAGGACAGGGCCACCACUACAAACAGGGCUCAUAAAUAUUUGGAAAAAAAUACAAAGUAGCUUCAAACAGGCCAGUAUUAGAUGACUGGAAAGAGUUCAAAAAAUCUUAGGCCUUGCUUGAUCUAAAAGGCUUCCACCUCCCAAACUGAAGAGGCAAUUAGGGCAGAUUCUGAACAGGAUCUGAAGUAACUGGGAAAGGUGAACACUCUGGGGAAAUCUCUGCUGUGAGUGUCACUGAGCACACUCACAUGCAGCCAGCACAGGGAAGAUGCCUGGCAUACCCAAACAAGCUUCCAGGUCACUGAUUCUGGUCUGCUCUCAUCCCUCUCAGAGCUAACUUUUCAGAACUUAAAAAAUAAAGGCUUAAAGGAAAAAUCAAUCCAAGUACACCAAGAGCAACAGUUCAAACAU